AUUGAACGCUGGCGGCAUGCUUUACACAUGCAAGUCGAACGGUAACAGGGUGCUUGCACCGCUGACGAGUGGCGAACGGGUGAGUAAUGCGUCGGAACGUGCCGAGUAGUGGGGGAUAACGCAGCGAAAGUUGUGCUAAUACCGCAUACGUACUGAGGUAGAAAGUGGGGGACCUUCGGGCCUCACGCUAUUCGAGCGGCCGACGUCUGAUUAGCUAGUAGGUGAGGUAAAGGCUCACCUAGGCGACGAUCAGUAGCGGGUCUGAGAGGAUGAUCCGCCACACUGGGAUUGCGACACGGCCCAGACUCCUACGGGAGGCAGCAGUGGGGAAUCUUGGACAAUGGGCGAAAGCCUGAUCCAGCCAUGCCGCGUGUCUGAAGAAGGCCUUCGGGUUGUAAAGGACUUUUGUCAGGGAGGAAAUCCCUAGUGCUAAUAACACUGGGGGAUGACAGUACCUGAAGAAUAAGCACCGGCUAACUACGUGCCAGCAGCCGCGGUAA
rnacentral:rRNA from 1 species